rnacentral:sRNA from 2 species
UGGACUACAUGAUGUUAUGCGGCCGUUUUAUCACCAUCUUUCUGGGUAACUUUGAAGUUGAGUGAGAACUGCGCGCUUUGGAAUGCGAUUUACCUCGGGGUAGUCGCUGGCGCAAAUGGUGAUCGGAUUGGCCACACUACGACGGAUGCCGAAUGGACUUGAUGGCGCUGGAACUGUUGAUAUUGCUUGUUAUUCCUCAAGUUUAGGAAAUUAGCCUGAAUGUGUGCCAAGUCACAGCUGAAAUAUUUGUCUAGGAAAGGUUUCUCUGAUACAAUCUUUGCUGGUUACUUCAAGGCUGGUUCCUUUUCGAGCUGGGCAGUUGUGAGAUGUAUAUAUUUUCGUGGGUCG